AGGAGGAACAACCGCAGUGCCGGGGCAGCUCUGCAGCCCUGGAGUCAGCCCCCGCAGUAGCUACAGAGCUCUCGGUCUGCAGGGCCUGGAGGCUCCGGGGCGGG
rnacentral:pre_miRNA from 1 species